AACGUAGGAGACAAACGUUAUCCGGAGUUACUGGGCGGUAAAGGGCGGUGUAGGCGGUUAGUUAAGGUCUGGCGUGAAAGCUCGUCGGCUAAACCCGGGGAGAGGUCGUUGGAUACUGGUCUGACUAGAGGACGGUAGAGGCGUGUGGAAUUCCGGGUGUAGUGGUGAAAUGCGUAGAGAUCCGGAGGAACACCAGUGGCGAAGGCGGCUCACUGGCCCGAUACUGACGCUGAGGCACGAAAGCGUGGGGAGCAAACAGG
rnacentral:rRNA from 1 species